rnacentral:misc_RNA from 1 species
GCAAACUUGGUCAUUUAGAGGAAGUAAAAGUCGUAACAAGGUCUCCGUUGGUGAACCAGCGGAGGGAUCAUUAAAGAGUGUUAAAACUCCCAAACCCUUGUGAACCUACCUAUAGUCGUGCUUCGGCGGGCAGCCUUCCCCUCGGGGGGGCCUCGCCUCUCUCUGAGAGGUGUCCGUCGGAGGACCACAACCAAACUCUUGCUGAAUUUGUCAUCUCUGAGUAUUAUAUCAAAUGAAUCAAAACUUUCAACAACGGAUCUCUUGGUUCUGGCAUCGAUGAAGAACGCAGC